UACGUAGGGGGCUAGCGUUGUCCGGAAUCAUUGGGCGUAAAGAGCGUGUAGGCGGUCCGGUAAGUCCGCUGUGAAAGUCGGGGGCUCAACCCUCGAAUGCCGGUGGAUACUGUCGGGCUAGAGUGCGGAAGAGGCGAGUGGAAGUUCCUGGUGUAGCGGUGAAAUGCGCAGAUAUCAGGGAGGGAACUCCGAUGGCGAAGGCAAGGUGCUGGACCCUCACUGACGCUGAGGCGCGGAAAAGCCCAGGGGAGCGAACGGG
rnacentral:rRNA from 1 species